UUCUAACCGUAAACGAUGACAACCAGCGAUUAAUCGGCGUUAAUAUACGACCCGAUUAGCAGCUUCCGGGAAACCAAAGUUUUUCGUUUCCGGGGGAAGUAUGGUUGCAAAGCUGAAACUUAAAGGAAUUGACGGAAGGGCACCACCAGGAGUGGAGCCUGCGGCUUAAUUUGACUCAACACGGGAAAACUCACCCGGCCCGGACACUGUAAGGAUUGACAGACUGAGAGCUCUUUCUUAAUUCAGUGGGUGGUGGUGCAUGGCCGUUCUUAGUUGGUGGAGCGAUUUGUCUGGUUAAUUCCGAUAACGAACGAGACUCUGGCCUAUUAAAUAGACGAGGUAUUUACGUGUAUCUCGCGCUUCUUAGAGGGACAAGCGGCGUCUAGUCGCAUGAAAAAGAGCAAUAACAGGUCUGUGAUGCCCUUAGAUGUCCGGGGCUGCACGCGCGCUACACUGAAAGAAUCAGCGUGCAUUAAAAACCUAGUCCGGAAGGACCGGGUAACCCGAGUAAAUUCUUUCGUGCUUGGGAUAGGGAAUUGCAAUUAUUUCCCUUAAACGAGGAAUUCCCAGUAAAUGCGGGUCAUAAGCUCGCGUUG
rnacentral:rRNA from 1 species